AGACAUUUCUUGAACGUAUUCAAACUUCAUUAGGCAGCCUUCAGACUCGCAAAAGGUGCUUGCUGUGACAAAUAGUAGUCUGAAAUGACCAGAAGAUCCACAGGGAUGGAAAUGUUCUGAAGGACAAAGGUACCUGAAUGUUGCUGCCUGUGAUCGUCCUCUGCGUAUAGCCAGUAUUUGGAAAGUGACUCAGCGCAGUAAAGACAAGGCUCUGCCAGGCUUGGGGGCUGACGGAGCACUGAAGCUGCAGACUGUUUGCCAUGCUAAGUCUCAGGAGGUGAUUAGAUUUGAUGUGUCCCCCUGGCUGAGAUCGAUAGCAAAACUGUGGGAUGCUGUGCCAGGAUCAACUUGCAGGUAGGAAGAAGCAAGAGAGGAGUAGACUGGCGACCUGCCUGCCUGUGCAAUACCACACGGCCAGCCUGGGGAGGCGGGAAGGGAAACCACUGAAGCUGGCUUCAAACUGUCUCCUUUCAUGGCACGAAGCGGGGAGUGAAACCCGUGGUGGGUGACUCUGGUGAAAGCACAAGAGCAGACAUGUGGGAGUGGAGCCCCGCCAUCUGAAAAGCGCAACAACAAAGUCCUUGAUGAUAACCGAGGGUGAGGUCUGUCUGGGAGAGCUCAGCCCCACAGCAGUGGGAGGGAGGCCAUGCUGGUGACUCCUGUGGGGACCCCUCCCAGGGACGCUGACUUCGGGAACCACCACACUGCCUCUCUUCCCCGGCAGGAUUUCAGCCCGUUAAGAGGACCGACCCAGAUUGAAAACUCAGACGUCCAUAAAACCAUUAAGGCUAGUAUCGGUCCUCUUGAUACCACCUUGAAUUCCAGUGCUGGAGCCUGUGUUUUCCUCCAGUGGUGAUAAUAGAUUUUGACUCACACUGUGAAGAUACCAUAGGCUCACUGGCAGUGAAGAUAAGCUAAUCAGUCCAUAAGGAUAGUUAUCAAUUUCCUGGAACAUACUGGUGUCUAACCGAAGCUGUCCAGAUACCGCAUGCAGGGGAGCUGACCUACCACGAAGUCAGAAACAGUGUUGUCAGGUAUCCUGUCACGACGUACUUGCCAAGCAACUGCAGCAGAUGUGGAUGGAUGACAAACUUUGCAUGCAUGGCUCUGGGACACAGAAGACCUCUUUCUGCAAACCAAGGGCUGCAAUUUGAGAAGCUGCUACUUUCUCUAUUUUUAAUGCCUUUAUUGAUACUUGUCUGCAUAGACCCCACAUAGUGGCAGGCCAGCAGCUCCUCACCCACAAAUCCCAGUUCUGGUCCAGGUCUCCCUCCUGCAGUUGUUCUGCUCUCCUCGAGUGUGGCCCCUCUGCCCGUUUCCGCCUACGUGUCCGCACACAGAAACCACUGACCACGGUCAGGCAGUCCCCUGACAAUACAGCAUGUGGGAAAGCUCUUCCAGGGCGAACGGCAUCCUUUCAAGAGCUCAGGCCAGAGAGUAAAGGCCGAUGCACCAUGGGAGAGCACUGAAAGGACAUUUAAGUUUUCUGACGAAGGGAAAAUGAGCUCUCCCCUGUGGGUUUUUCUCUGGAGGCUACGAGAGUGAGAUUUCUGAAUUCGAGGAGUGGAAGAAAAAGGAAGAAAAACACGAACAAAAUAGUCAGCUAAAAGAUGUAACUUUAAUUUAGCAUAUCAUGAUAGUGAUGCUGGGUACUGCUAUGAAACAGAAGGUGCUGGGAAAGAUCCACUGAAAUAUCAGUUGAUCUUGGACAGCAAAAUUUAAUAUGCCCAACACAGUGAAACAAACACCUAGUGAAUGAGGGCACAAUUAAGCACUCACUUAGGUGUUACGAUGUCAGGCUGAGCUGUUGCUGAAUGUGGGGGGCCGCAGGGAGCUCUUUCCUGCUGCUCUCUCGGACAGUCCUGCAGGGAGCCUGAUGGGACACUGAUCCAGCGAUGGACACGAAUCGCUCUGCUGCCGGUAUAAUUUUCAGGAAAAGCAGUGAUCUGCUCUCGCCACAUGGUAAUUAACAUGAGAAUGAGCAACUAGGCACAUGGAGGGAGUUUGUGGGGAAGCAGGGAGGGGUGACAGGGCUAUGCAUUUUGUUGGCGUUGUGGACUUCGGCUGGAGUGAAGCAUCUGCGUAACCAUGGCCUGGGAGGUCUCAUCUAAUGGUCUGAGCAGAAAUCAGCAAAGUAUUCUUCAUUUCUGCUUACGGAUGGGGGACAGAUUCCCUUCUUAGCUUUGGAUAAGUCUUGCACCUAGAACGUAUUCAUUGGUCUGAAAAUGGGGUUGUGAAGGGAUUAUUUGUGAUUGUAAUAUUUUUUUGUCUUUCUGGUAACUCCAUUUAUGACAGAAAAAUGUUUAAAUGUCUACCUGUGAAAGUAACUUUCUACCAGGCUCUGAGAUGCGUUCCUAAACGUUCUGCGCUGCAGCCUACUUCAGCAAUUCUAGAUGCCUGGUGUAGAUCUUGCCACGCAGGACACGUGGAGUUGAAGGACAUUGAACACUGAGAAUUCUUCCACUGUGUGACGAUUACAGAAACAUCUGUUCUCAGUGACCCUCUGCUGAUCAUCUGUAAAAAUUAAAUGUUUAAUAGUCCCCAAUACUUCCUAUUUUUAACAAACAUGAAUCUGAGCAGUCUGAACUUCAGAUGAGUUUUCCUUACAAACCACUUUCCUUACAUAGAUGUGAAAUGUAUGUACAGCCCCUGCCUUUGUAUCAAUGCUUUACAAAUUCUCACGGUGUUUUGCAGUAUUUAACUCUGCAUGGUCGGACUCCUUAUCUGACUUGGAGUUUUGGACUGUUUCAUAUUUCAUGGUCUGAAUUUUAUGAUUUGAGUUUAUCUCGGAUUUCUAACUGGUAGUGAGAAGACCAGACUACUGCAGCAUGAAAGUGGUGCUGAAUGCAAAACACAUUGCAUUGUCAAAGUUGCUUUCAUGAAGAUGUUUCAUUUUGAAGUUGCAUAACAAAGUCAGAAAAAAACCACUCCCCGUGAGCACAUGCAAUGAUGUCUACAGAAUUUAUUUUCAGGACAUACUUUUUCUCAUGAUUGUGUUGCAAGUCUCUUUGUCUCCCUGGCUUCUGGUAGAAUUUCUGCACUAUCACCAUGAAUGAAGCCUGAAUAUCAGAAUAGGUAUCUCUGAAAGUGCCUACAAAACAUAGGUUUCUUUAAUAUGAAGAUAUUGUGUAUCCACGCAGAAAAUAGCUUCAGCACCUCUGUGAAUGAUGUAGUCUCCAAAGUACAACCAGCUCUUGUAAUCACAACAAAGCAAUUCAGAAAAAUAAAUGAGGGGUCAAAGACUUGACAUGAGAGCACUCAGAUCUUUGUAGAAGUGGAAGUAGGAUUAUCUUUCUGGUUUUACUCUGUGUGUGUGUAUUUUAAUUCUCAUUCAUAUUUCUCUGAUGUGUGGUGGAAAACUGUUAACUAUUAAGCUUCAUAAUAUCACUGCAAAUAUCCCAGAUCUCUGCUCCAUCUGCUAGACCUCAUUGCCUCACUUAAAAUUUGUUUGUUUUUUCUCAGAGAAGAGAUCUUUCCAUUUGAUAUUAGCAUUCUAAAAAAGUCCCGAACUGAAUAAGCCCUCGGAGCUCAAGGGGAACAUCUCCAGUACUAUCUGCAGAGGAAACGGGAAUCUCGCACGGUUCCAGGUCUGCCCCACCUACCCCAUGCCUAGUUCUGCUGCAGACACAAGCAGUCAGUGCCAGUAAAUGUCUCUCACUGCAACGCGGCAUGGGACCCAAGACUGGAAAUGAGCUUGCGCCAUCCUUGGCGCAAGUAAUUCUGAUACGAGCUUAGCAGAGAUGAAAGGCACUUGGACCAAUGGGUGAUGACUUAUGAGCACCAUGGGAGGAAGUCAGCGCACCACAAGCAAAUUUUUCUGCUGUCUAGAUGUACUAGAGAAACACUGCAAAACCAGAAAAAGCCGGAGAAUUAGAAAUUAUAUCUUGGUUUUUGUUUUGGUUUUUUUGGGGGGGGGUUAAAUCAUGUUUUGGUCCACUAUUUUUGGGGGCUUUGGGGGUUUGUUUUGUUUUGUUGUUCGUUUUGUUUUUUUUUUUAAAGUUCCUUUUUCUUUUACUCUAUAUAUUGAAUCAUGCAAGGUAUGAAUUAUACAGAAUAGCCCAGCCCCAGUUUGGAGUAAAAUGAGGGAAAGCUCAACGUUUUACAGGACUGAAUCCUAGUACUGCCAGACUGCCUGGCAUCACGUAAACUGAAGAGAAGUCUGCUAUAACUUAACUUCUCAUUUUGAAUGAGUGCCUGGUGCUGGAAGGUACCUAGAGCCAUUGACAAGAAAGGCAUCUGAGGACACCUAGCAUUAUCCAGGCAAUGUUCAACAUCUUCCAAGAUUCAGUGCCUCGGCAGGCAAGAGCAGAGAUGUAGGGGUUUUUUUAGCAUCCAGAAAAAGAAAGGUGAAGGGUUCAUCCCAGUUCUAGGUGGUAUGUUAAAGCCAGCACGGUUAAGGCAUGCCCAGUGUUGUUGCCAGCAGCUUGCAAACCGUUUCCUUUUGACUUUUCCUGUCUGAAGGACCAGAUCAGAGUUGGAGUUGGCAAUUAGCAUGAGUGUAGAGCAAGCUUCAAGCUUACGCCUCAUUUGUUUCAUCGUCAGACCAUUCGUAUUUGCUAUAUCUCUUCAAAACAAACUCUUCCAUACAUCAGCUCAUGUAAAUUGCUCUGUAGUCCUCUUGAUGUGGGUGAAUGAUGACUGACAUCAGUUGAUGAUCUGUUCUUCCAUUUGUAAUUCUGAGAUUUAAUCUUUUUGUAACAAAAUCACAAGAGAAUUAAGCCAUUUGUGGCAAUGAGUGUAGUCAAAGACUAUGAAAUAAAACUAGGAGCAUAUGUAAAAUAAAAGUAUCCAUUAUAUGAUCAUGUAUAUGUAUAUAUUUAUAAAAAUUUCAGCAGUCCACUUGCCAGAAUUCUAAAACUGGUGAUGAGAUGACAGACAGGUGAGAAAUAUGAAACUUUCAAGUCAGAGAUAUUUUUCUGUUUAUGGUUCAUGUGAUUUUAUUUGAAAAAAGAUUUCUAUGAAAAUGGAGAAAUUGGGUCAUUCUUGAUUCACCCCCCAAAAAAGACAUAGAUGAAUAUACGUGUGUGUAUAUAUAUAUAUAUAUAUGGUGUGUGUAUAUAUAUAAAAAUAAAAGCUAUAAAGAAAGAA